GCCCGGAUGGCGAAACAGGUAGACGCAAGGGACUUAAAAUCCCUCGGCCUCGCGGCCAUGCCGGUUCGAUCCCGGCUCCGGGUA
rnacentral:tRNA from 1 species